GGAAACAACCCAGACCGCCAGCUAAGGUCCCAAAGUCAUGGUUAAGUGGGAAACGAUGUGGGAAGGCCCAGACAGCCAGGAUGUUGGCUUAGAAGCAGCCAUCAUUUAAAGAAAGCGUAAUAGCUCACUGGUCGAGUCGGCCUGCGCGGAAGAUGUAACGGGGCUAAACCAUGCACCGAAGCUGCGGCAGCGACACUGUGUGUUGUUGGGUAGGGGAGCGUUCUGUAAGCCUGUGAAGGUGUGCUGUGAGGCAUGCUGGAGGUAUCAGAAGUGCGAAUGCUGACAUAAGUAACGAUAAAGCGGGUGAAAAGCCCGCUCGCCGGAAGACCAAGGGUUCCUGUCCAACGUUAAUCGGGGCAGGGUGAGUCGACCCCUAAGGCGAGGCCGAAAGGCGUAGUCGAUGGGAAACAGGUUAAUAUUCCUGUACUUGGUGUUACUGCGAAGGGGGGACGGAGAAGGCUAUGUUGGCCGGGCGACGGUUGUCCCGGUUUAAGCGUGUAGGCUGGUUUUCCAGGCAAAUCCGGAAAAUCAAGGCUGAGGCGUGAUGACGAGGCACUACGGUGCUGAAGCAACAAAUGCCCUGCUUCCAGGAAAAGCCUCUAAGCAUCAGGUAACAUCAAAUCGUACCCCAAACCGACACAGGUGGUCAGGUAGAGAAUACCAAGGCGCUUGAGAGAACUCGGGUGAAGGAACUAGGCAAAAUGGUGCCGUAACUUCGGGAGAAGGCACGCUGAUAUGUAGGUGAAGUCCCUCGCGGAUGGAGCUGAAAUCAGUCGAAGAUACCAGCUGGCUGCAACUGUUUAUUAAAAACACAGCACUGUGCAAACACGAAAGUGGACGUAUACGGUGUGACGCCUGCCCGGUGCCGGAAGGUUAAUUGAUGGGGUCAGCGCAAGCGAAGCUCUUGAUCGAAGCCCCGGUAAACGGCGGCCGUAACUAUAACGGUCCUAAGGUAGCGAAAUUCCUUGUCGGGUAAGUUCCGACCUGCACGAAUGGCGUAAUGAUGGCCAGGCUGUCUCCACCCGAGACUCAGUGAAAUUGAACUCGCUGUGAAGAUGCAGUGUACCCGCGGCAAGACGGAAAGACCCCGUGAACCUUUACUAUAGCUUGACACUGAACAUUGAGCCUUGAUGUGUAGGAUAGGUGGGAGGCUUUGAAGUGUGGACGCCAGUCUGCAUGGAGCCGACCUUGAAAUACCACCCUUUAAUGUUUGAUGUUCUAACGUGGACCCGUGAUCCGGGUUGCGGACAGUGUCUGGUGGGUAGUUUGACUGGGGCGGUCUCCUCCUAAAGAGUAACGGAGGAGCACGAAGGUUGGCUAAUCCUGGUCGGACAUCAGGAGGUUAGUGCAAUGGCAUAAGCCAGCUUGACUGCGAGCGUGACGGCGCGAGCAGGUGCGAAAGCAGGUCAUAGUGAUCCGGUGGUUCUGAAUGGAAGGGCCAUCGCUCAACGGAUAAAAGGUACUCCGGGGAUAACAGGCUGAUACCGCCCAAGAGUUCAUAUCGACGGCGGUGUUUGGCACCUCGAUGUCGGCUCAUCACAUCCUGGGGCUGAAGUAGGUCCCAAGGGUAUGGCUGUUCGCCAUUUAAAGUGGUACGCGAGCUGGGUUUAGAACGUCGUGAGACAGUUCGGUCCCUAUCUGCCGUGGGCGCUGGAGAACUGAGGGGGGCUGCUCCUAGUACGAGAGGACCGGAGUGGACGCAUCACUGGUGUUCGGGUUGUCAUGCCAAUGGCACUGCCCGGUAGCUAAAUGCGGAAGAGAUAAGUGCUGAAAGCAUCUAAGCACGAAACUUGCCCCGAGAUGAGUUCUCCCUGACCCUUUAAGGGUCCUGAAGGAACGUUGAAGACGACGACGUUGAUAGGCCGGGUGUGUAAGCGCAGCGAUGCGUUGAGCUAACCGGUACUAAUGAACCGUGAGGCUUAACCUUACAACGCCGAAGGUGUUU
rnacentral:rRNA from 1 species